CUCAAGUUAGACGUUUGAAAUUUGGCAUGCAGGUACCUUAGAUACCGUAGAGGUGCACUAAGAAAGGAAUUCCCGAAAUUCCCACGGGAACGGGAAUUAGCGGAAAAAUAU